UCGAGGCUGUCGGCGGGGAGGACCGCAUCGCCGGCCUCCCUGAGGAGCUCCUCGCACUCGUCUUCGUCAUGCUCGGCUCCGGCAACUGCAAGCACUGCUCCCUCGUCUACUGCCGCUGGCUCGCCAUCAAGGCCGCCUCCCGCCUCCGCCUCGUGCUCGACGCCCGGGUGCCACUCCUUUGACGACGAAGCACUCCCCGCGCUCCUCCACUGGUGCGGCUCGCCGGCCUCCCCGCCACUCCAGCUAGCUCGAGGACCACCUCCGCAUCCUCCUCCCCCUCAUCCGGGUGCCUCGCCCCCACAGCUACUUCGAGCCCUAUGCCCGUGGCAGGAGGCGGCGGGACAGCAGCCACACGAGCAGGCAUUGGGGUUGGUGUACGACGCGGCGAGCGGGACGACGGCCGUGAUUUGGGAGCUAUGUUCCACUGCGCGUAGGCAAAACAGUGUAGGUGCGUGAUGCAUGGAGGCAGCUUCUCAAGCACCGUGGUGAAGGCCCACUCACUCCCCUUCGGAUGCAGAACCUGCAGAUGGGCGAGGGGAGCUUCUUCUUUGGUGGAGCUUUGUGUCCUUCAACAUUUUAUAAGCAGGAGCCAGGGAGGGUGACAUGUUCAAGUGAUUAUGAGGACGAGCUUGAAUUUGCAUGGCAAUAAACUACUUCGGAGCUGCCGCCGGCUCCUGCUACUUCGGAGCCAAGGGAAUCGAGGGUGUUUUCCGCUCCUGCCUCCAUCUCGAGGAGCUCUCCAUCAAGCGCCUCUAUGGCCUCGCUAAAUCUGAGGCCAUCAAGGCUAUGGAUCCGGGGGCGGUCAUCAAAGCUGCACUGGGAAGCUGCAGCAGCGGCUUGGAACCAUUGCCCGAUAGUAAGCACAAGCAGCUGUCCAGCAGCGAGCUGCAACCUGCAAGCAUAAGCAGAGCUAUUUGCAAUCGUAUUGUACAUAUACGCAACAUUAAGCUUGCUGAGCCUCCUUUACCGUCAACACCAGGGAACACAUAUAUGUGAUCCUCAUGAUGGAGGUCCACCACUGGGGGGAGAAUGCUGGUACAAUUGCACCCUUAAGGACAUAGCUGGGGAGGAAAAGAAGCGACUGCUCCCGGAAGGCACCGGGACAAACAGUAGUGUGGUUUAGAAAAGCUCUAGCUGUUGAACCUGCCAAGGGCAAUCUGCGGCUCAAUUGGUGCUCAGCUUGUGGUCAUGAUGGAGGUGUGUACAGCUCCCCCAUGCGUAUGUUGAAGUCCUCCAAAAGUGUGUUCAUAAGUUGGUUGGUGUGCUUUUCUUUUCUGCCUGCAAGUUUCUUCAGCAGAUCAACACUAUAACAUGCUCUACAUCUAUUUGGUGUUUGGUGAUCAGAAAGUUCAUCAGAUCAUCAUCGGCAGCAGUUUAGUUGCACCUCAACCUAGCUUGAUUUUAUUCAUGUGUAACUUGAUAUUAGUUGUAGUACCUCCAAUCUUUUUGUUUGGUGGUAGUUUUAAUCAUCGGCUGUAAUCAGCACUACAACAGUUGAGGCAAUCAUGAUUUGUAUGUGGUAGUAGUUUUGAAACUAUGUGAAUAUUUGGAAUUUAGAUGAGGUGAAACUUUGUAAAUGUUCUAAUUUGCUUUCAGAUUUUUAUAAUUUUGCUUA